rnacentral:ncRNA from 2 species
GGAUUCCUUCGGGGCAGGGUGGAAUUCCCCGACCGGCGGUAUUAGAUGAUGACUGUUUUUAAAUCAACAUUUCAAAACAGCAUCAUCUAGAGCCCGUGACCCGCGACAAGCGGUGGAUCUGGUGAGAGGCCAGAGCCGACAGUGACAGUCUGGAUGGGAGAAGGAAGAA